rnacentral:rRNA from 1 species
GACGAACGCUGGCGGCGUGGAUUAGGCAUGCAAGUCGGACGGUAGAGCUUUAUCGUAAGAUAGAGUUUGAGAGUGGCGAACGGGUGAGUAACACGUAGGAAUCUACCCUUAAGACGGGGACAACCCAGGGAAACUUGGGCUAAUACCGGAUGAGAGUGCGAGAGAUUGCAUUUAAAAGGAUGGCGAAAGUUGUCGCUUAGGGAUGAGCCUGCGGUCUAUUAGUUAGUUGGUGAGGUAAGAGCUCACCAAGGCGAUGAUAGAUAGGCGGCCUUAACGGGUGGUCGCCCACACUGGGAUUGAGACACGGCCCAGACUCCUACGGGAGGCAGCAGUGGGGAAUCUUCCGCAAUGGGCGCAAGCCUGACGGAGCAACGCCGCGUGGGUGAAGAAGGCCUUCGGGUUGUAAAGCCCUGUCUUAUGGGAAGAAGUCAGUGACGGUACCAUAGGAGGAAGCACGGCUAACUACGUG